GACGAACGCUGGCGGCGUGCUUAAUACAUGCAAGUCGAGCGAGGCCCAUCCAGUGGCAACACUGGGGAAGGCCGAGCGGCGAACGGGUGAGUAACACGUGAGCAACCUGCCCCGAAGUCUGGAAUAACAUCGGGAAACCGGUGCUAAUACCGGAUUGCCCCACCUGACCGCAUGAUCGGGUGAGGAAAGAUUUAUCGCUUCGGGAGGGGCUCGCGGCCUAUCAGCUAGUUGGCGGGGUAACGGCCCACCAAGGCGUCGACGGGUAGCUGGUCUGAGAGGACGACCAGCCACACUGGGACUGAGACACGGCCCAGACUCCUACGGGAGGCAGCAGUAGGGAAUCUUGCGCAAUGGGCGAAAGCCUGACGCAGCAACGCCGCGUGGGGGAUGACGGCCUUUGGGUUGUAAACCCCUUUCAGCAGGAACGAAAUGACGUACCUGCAGAAGAAG
rnacentral:rRNA from 1 species